rnacentral:rRNA from 1 species
GACGAACCACACAAACGUUAUUCGGAAUUACUGGGCUUAAAGGGUGCGUAGGCGGCGCGGCAAGUUGGGUGUGAAAUCCCUCGGCUCAACCGAGGAACUGCGCUCAAUACUACCGUGCUCGAGGGAGACAGAGGUGAGCGGAACUUAGGGUGGAGCGGUGAAAUGCGUUGAUAUCCUAAGGAACACCCGUGGCGAAAGCGGCUCACUGGGUCUCUUCUGACGCUGAGGCACGAAAGCUAGGGUAGCGAACGGG